CACCGCGGUUAUACGAGUGACUCACAUUAAUACAUCCCGGCGUAAAGAGUGAUUUAAGGAAUGCCUUUAACAACUAAAGUUAAGACCUUAUCAAGCUGUUAUACGCACCCAUAAGUGGAAUAAUCAACAACGAAAGUGACUUUAUAUAUUAAGGAACCUUGAUGUCACGACAGUUGGGCCC
rnacentral:rRNA from 1 species